UCCGCACGCCCAUCUCCUUUUCUUCUUCUUUCUUCUUUUUCUUUUACUCUUCUUCCUUCUCUGUUCUACCCAAACGCAGAGAGAGAGACAAGAGAGUGAGAUCGAGAGAUGGAGAGGGAGAUCAGAGAGAGAGAGUUGAGAUCAAGAGAGAGACCUGAGAGAGGCUGAGAGACCUAGAGGAGACUCGUGACCCGCGAGGCCCGAAUUCUAGCCGAUUCUCCGGUGGGUGACGCCAGUGAACCUGAGAUCGAUUUCCGGUGGUUUGAAGGGGAUUUUCUGUGGUUAGAGGCGAUUUUCCGGCAAUUGGGUGGAGGAUCGUUCCGUUGAUGAUUUUUCGGUGGUUCUCCUCGGUUUCGAAUGAAAAUCCUCAUGUAGGUUGUGGAAGAAAAGCACUCAAAAUCCAUCAAAUUCCAAGCUUAGGACAAAGUCUGGAAGAAUAUUGAAAUCUUCAAAGUCAAUCUUGGAAAGAUGAUUCCAAUUCAAUUUUGGAAUUGUUUGCUGCAGAAAAAGGGAAAUUGGGGUACGCAGCCUAAGGGUCUUUUGUUUCAUAAUACCAAGGGGUACACAACCCAAUGGUCUUGUUGCAUGGUGCCCAGGGGAACGCAAUUCAAAGUGACGCAUUGCACGGUGGUGUCUAGGAAACUUAGUGCUUAAAUCCACGCAGCCAAUAUGAGGUUUCUUGGUUGCAGGUACUGCGGAUGUAGAUGAUGACCAGUUUACUUAGCAUAUGGGAUGUUAUGAUUGGAGCAUAUCGCGACAGUCAUAUGCCGGACUCAUGGGUAGUUCGUAUGUUGGGUAUUUGGUUAUAGCUCAUAUCCUAUGGGGCAUGUAUUUGCUGAGCCUGUAAUUUGGGUAUGUAAUUAUAGUAAUAUGUUUUAUAAGCUUUAACAAGUUAGAUACAUAA